rnacentral:rRNA from 1 species
GACGUAGGGCGCAAGCGUUGUCCGGAUUUAUUGGGCGUAAAGAGCUCGUAGGCGGCUCGUCGCGUCGACCGUGAAAACCCGCGGCUUAACUGCGGGCUUGCGGUUGAUACGGGCGGGCUAGAGUUCGGUAGGGGAGACUGGAGUUCCUGGUGUAGCGGUGAAAUGCGUAGAUAUCUGGAGGAACACCGGUGGCGAAGGCGGCAUCCUGGACCGACACUGACGCUGAGGAGCGAAAGCCAGGGGAGCAAACGGG